CUGGCUUCCCAGUGAAGCGGGAGGAGGAACGGAAGGGAGCCCCUUCCUUACGGAGCACCUUCCAUCCCUCAUCCUGCUUUGCUGGGAAGCCAG